rnacentral:rRNA from 1 species
CCCCUAGAUGUUCUCGGCCGCACACGCGCUACACUGAAAGAGGCAACGUGUUUGCCUGAUUCGAAAGAAUUGGGUAACCCCCUAAUCUCUUUCGUGCUGGGGAUUGAGGUUUGCAAUUAUCCUUCAUGAACGAGGAAUUCCCAGUAAGUGCGAGUCAUUAUCUCGCGCUGACUACGUCCCUGCCCUUUGUACACACCGCCCGUCGCUACUACCGAUUGAAUGAUUUAGUGAGGACUUCGGACUGAGUCCAAUGCGGCUUUCGGGCUGCGUUGGUAUUUCGGAAAGAUGUCCAAACUGUAUCAUUUAGAGGAAGUAAAAGUCGUAACA